rnacentral:misc_RNA from 1 species
UCCGGUUUGUCACCGGCAGUCUCCUAUGAGUCCCCAACUGAAUGCUGGCAACAUAGGACGGGGGUUGCGCUCGUUGCGGGACUUAACCCAACACCUCACGACACGAGCUGACGACAGCCAUGCACCACCUGCACACAGGCCACAAGGGAAUACCUAUCUCUAGGCACGUCCUGUGCAUGUCAAGCCUUGGUAAGGUUCUUCGCGUCGCGUCGAAUUAAACCACAUGCUCCACCGCUUGUGCGGGCCCCCGUCAAUUCCUUUGAGUUUCAGCCUUGCGGCCGUACUCCCCAGGCGGGGUACUUAUUGCGUUAGCGACGGCACCGAAGGGGUCGCUCCCCCCGGCGCCUAGUACCCAUCGUUUACGGCGUGGACUAC